rnacentral:rRNA from 1 species
GUACGGAAGGCAGCAGUGGGGAAUUUUGGACAAUGGGCGCAAGCCUGAUCCAGCCAUGCCGCGUGCGGGAAGAAGGCCUUCGGGUUGUAAACCGCUUUUGUCGGGGAAGAAAUCUUCUGAGUUAAUACCUCGGGAGGAUGACGGUACCCGAAGAAUAAGCACCGGCUAACUACGUGCCAGCAGCCGCGGUAAUACGUAGGGUGCAAGCGUUAAUCGGAAUUACUGGGCGUAAAGCGUGCGCAGGCGGUCUUGCAAGACAGAUGUGAAAUCCCCGGGCUUAACCUGGGAACUGCAUUUGUGACUGCAAGGCUGGAGUGCGGCAGAGGGGGAUGGAAUUCCGCGUGUAGCAGUGAAAUGCGUAGAUAUGCGGAGGAACACCGAUGGCGAAGGCAAUCCCCUGGGCCUGCGCUGACGCUCAUGCACGAAAGCGUGGGGAGCAAACAGGAUUAGAUACCCCUGUAGUCCG